CUCUUGCCUGUUGCCGUGUGAGGUGGGGUUUUGCUUCUCCUUUGCCUUUCGCCAUGAUUGUGAAGCCUCCCCAGCCACGUCGAACUAUAAAGAAAUACAGGCUCUGAAAUGGCAUGUGAUUUGCCCAAAGUCAGUGAGCUACUAAGUGAGAGGUGGAAGAGAAAGUGAGGUGCCUGUCUUUAGAACUCAGACCUUUAUCUUCAUCUUCUGAAAGAAAUGAAAAUGUGCUCAAAAUCCUGCCACUGGGAACUAUCAACAGAAUUUACAGAUCAUUAGACAUUUCUCCACGCAUACUACAAAUAAAAGGAUGGAAGAAAGAACAGAGAUUUUUUUGUGAAAAUAAGAUAUUGUAACAUGCUCUUUUUAAACAAAGGUACAACAUUAGAAUUUAAACUCAAC
rnacentral:lncRNA from 1 species